ensembl:snRNA U6 U6 spliceosomal RNA
GUGCUCGCUUCGGCAGGACGUAUAAUAACGUUGGAACCACACAGAGAAGACCGGCCUUGCCCCUGCCGAAGGGUGACAGGCACAGCCGCGAAUCGUUCCAAAGACCA